rnacentral:rRNA from 1 species
AGAGCGAACGCUGGCGGCAGGCUUAACACAUGCAAGUCGAACGGAUCCUUCGGGAUUAGUGGCGGACGGGUGAGUAACACGUGGGAACGUGCCUUUAGGUUCGGAACAACACAGGGAAACUUGUGCUAAUACCGGAUGUGCCCUUCGGGGGAAAGAUUUAUCGCCUUUAGAGCGGCCCGCGUCUGAUUAGCUUGUUGGUGAGGUAAAGGCUCACCAAGGCUACGAUCAGUAGCUGGUCUGAGAGGAUGGCCAGCCACAUUGGGACUGAGACACGGCCCAAACUCCUACGGGAGGCAGCAGUGGGGAAUCUUGCGCAAUGGGGGAAACCCUGACGCAGCCAUGCCGCGUGGAUGAUGAAGGUCUUAGGAUUGUAAAAUCCUUUCAGCGGGGACGAUAAUGACGGUACCGCAGAAGAAGCCCCGGCUAACUUCGCGCCAGCCAGCCGC